rnacentral:rRNA from 1 species
UACAGAGGUCUCAAGCGUUGUUCGGAUUCAUUGGGCGUAAAGGGUGCGUAGGCGGCGCGGAAAGUUGGGUGUGAAAUCCCUCGGCUUAACCGAGGAACUGCGCCCAAAACUACCGUGCUUGAGGGAGAUAGAGGUGAGCGGAACUUAGGGUGGAGCGGUGAAAUGCGUUGAUAUCCUAAGGAACACCGGUGGCGAAAGCGGCUCACUGGAUCUCUUCUGACGCUGAGGCACGAAAGCUAGGGUAGCGAACGGG